CAGGAACAGAGCAUUCUGUCCCUCCUGGAGAGGGUCUUGUUGGGACUCAGGACCCCGGUUGGACUACUUUAUCCAUCAGGAUCUUAAAGUGAGAGAGCUGGUUGACCCAAGUUUGCUACAAGCAACGCACUAAGAGGGACCCAAUACCAAAAUAUAAGCAAAUGGGGCUUAUAUACUGUAUAUGUCCAGUAAUAAUAUAUACCUCUUCCUAAUGAGUGAAUGGAUGACCUUCCUGGAGUGAACGCAUGACUCUCUGUGAGUGAACAGAUGACCCUCUAAGCGUGAAUAGACGAUCUUCUGGGAGUGAAGAGACGAUCUUCUGGGAGUGAACAGAUGACCCUCUGAGAGUGAACAGACGAUCUUCUGGGAGUGAACAGAUGACCUUCAGGAGUGAAUGAAAGACCUUCCUGGAGUGAACGGAUGACCUUCUGGGAGUGAAUGCAUGACCCUCUGUGAGUGAACAGAUGACCCUCUGAGAAUGAACAGACGAUCUUCUGGGAGUGAACAGAUGACCCUCUGAGCGUGAACAGACUAUCUUCUGGAAGUGAACGGAUGACCUUCAGGAAGUGAACGAAAGACCUUCCCGGAGUGAACGGAUGACCCUCUGAAAGUGAACAGAUGACCUUCUACAGGGGAUACACACGGUGCAAUUCUGCCUAGGUGGCAGAUUUGCACUAUGCGAUUUCCCUUGAUCACCCAAGAACCAAACGCCACCGUUAAUCACUAUACACACGGUACGAUUUUGGAUCUGGUCAGUUUUGACUAUACAGUGUACUAGGUUAUACACUUUAUAGUCAAAAUUAGACUGCCAGCACGGUCUAUUUUUACUUGCGAUGCCGACCCUGCGGGAGUGCGCAUCUGCAUCGCAAGUUGUAUACACACGGUGCGAUAUGUGGACCUUUGAUCACUUUCUAUGGUCAGCAGAGAGCUUUGAUGAUAACAUUAUGUGUAGGAUGUUAAUUAUUUUGCCAUCCUACUCAAUAUCUAUGCAGACCAGGCUGGUGCUGAUUAUGGCUCACUAGUUGUUUUCUAGUACAGUAUUAGUGAUGUCUACUGAUUAGGAAUUUUAAGAGAGGGACUCACUCAUAAAUAAAUAACAAUAAGACAGUCAUCAUCAGCAAUUUUAUUUUAUUUUUUACCCUAGAACCGCUCAAACAGGAAGAAGUUGAUGCUGAUGACUACUGUACAUUGCUUCUAAAGUAGAAACUUAUAAUGGUGACGGGCCUAUUAUUGUUCCUGAUGCAUCUACUGU